rnacentral:rRNA from 1 species
CAGCAGCCACGGGAAUACGGAGGGUGCAAGCGUUGUCCGGAUUUAUUGGGUUUAAAGGGUGCGUAGGCGGCUAUUUAAGUCAGCGGUGAAAGACUCCGGCUCAACCGGAGCAGUGCCAUUGAUACUGGAUAGCUUGAGUGUUGGAGGGGUACAUGGAAUUGAUGGUGUAGCGGUGAAAUGCAUAGAUACCAUCAGGAACACCGAUAGCGAAGGCAUUGUACUGGCCAACAACUGACGCUGAGGCACGAAAGCAUGGGGAGCGAACAGGAUUAGAUACCCCCGUAGUCCCUGUCUCUUAUAC